UACGGGGGGGGCAAGCGUUGUUCGGAAUUACUGGGCGUAAAGGGCUCGUAGGCGGCCAACUAAGUCAGACGUGAAAUCCCUCGGCUUAACCGGGGAACUGCAUCUGAUACUGGAUGGCUUGAGUUCGGGAGAGGGAUGCGGAAUUCCAGGUGUAGCGGUGAAAUGCGUAGAUAUCUGGAGGAACACCGGUGGCGAAGGCGGCAUCCUGGACCGAGAUUGACGCUGAGGCGCGAAAGCUAGGGGAGCAAACGGG
rnacentral:rRNA from 1 species